rnacentral:rRNA from 1 species
UCCCAAACCCCUGUGAACAUACCUUUAUGUUGCCUCGGCGGAUCAGCCCGCGCCCCGUAAAACGGGACGGCCCGCCGCAGGAAACCCUAAACUCUGUUUUUAGUGGAACUUCUGAGUAUAAAAAACAAAUAAAUCAAAACUUUCAACAACGGAUCUCUUGGUUCUGGCAUCGAUGAAGAACGCAGCAAAAUGCGAUAAGUAAUGUGAAUUGCAGAAUUCAGUGAAUCAUCGAAUCUUUGAACGCACAUUGCGCCCGCCAGUAUUCUGGCGGGCAUGCCUGUUCGAGCGUCAUUUCAACCCUCAAGCCCAGCUUGGUGUUGGGAUCUGUCCUUACCGACAGUCCCCAAAUUGAUUGGCGGUCACGUCGAGCUUCCAUAGCGUAGUAAUUUACACAUCGUUACUGGUAAUCGUCGCGGCCACGCCGUUAAACCCCAACUUCUGAAUGUUGACCUCGGAUCAGGUAGGAAUACCCGCUGAACUUAAGCAUAUCAAUAAGCGGAGGAAAAGAAACCAACAGGGAUUGCCCUAGUAACGGCGAGUGAAGCGGCAACAGCUCAAAUUUGAAAUCUGGCUCUCGGGCCCGAGUUGUAAUUUGUAGAGGAUGACUUUGAUGCGGUGCCUUCCGAGUUCCCUGGAACGGGACGCCAUAGAGGGUGAGAGCCCCGUCUGGUUGGAUGCCAAAUCUCUGUAAGUCUCCUUCGACGAGUCGAGUAGUUUGGGAAUGCUGCUCUAAAUGGGAGGUAUAUGUCUUCUAAAGCUAAAUACCGGCCAGAGACCGAUAGCGCACAAGUAGAGUGAUCGAAAGAUGAAAAGCACUUUGAAAAGAGAGUUAAAAAGUACGUGAAAUUGUUGAAAGGGAAGCGUUUAUGACCAGACUUGGGCUUGGUUAAUCAUCUGGGGUUCUCCCCAGUGCACUUUUCCAGUCCAGGCCAGCAUCAGUUUUCGCCGGGGGAUAAAGACUUCGGGAAUGUGGCUCCCCUCGGGGAGUGUUAUAGCCCGUUGUGUAAUACCCUGGCGGGGAC